rnacentral:rRNA from 1 species
AUUGAACGCUGGCGGCAUGCUUUACACAUGCAAGUCGAACGGUAGCAGGCCUUCUGUUGCUGCCUGGUGGCGGACGGGUGAGUAAUGCAUCGGCACGUGCCCAGAGGUUGUGGAUAACGCAUCACAAGCUGUGCUAAUAGCUCAUGUGAGCUGAGGAUGAGAGCGGGGGGCCAGGCAGCAAUGUUUGGCCUCGCGCGUUUGUAGCGGCCGAUGUCGGAUUAGAUAGUUGGUGAGGUAAGGGCAUACCAAGCCGACGAUCUGUAGCUGGUCUGAGAGGACGACCAGCCACACUGGAACUGAGACACGGCCCAGACUCCUACGGGAGGCAGCAGUAGGGAAUUUUGCACAAUGGGCGAAAGCCUGAUCCAGCAAUGCCGCGUGAGGGAAGAAGGUCUUCGGGUCGUAAAACGCUUUUGUAAGGAAAGAAAAGGCUCUGGCUAAUCCGUGCGGAUCAUGACGGUACCGGAAGAAUAAGCACCGGCUAACUACGUG